rnacentral:rRNA from 1 species
UACGUAGGGGGCAAGCGUUGUCCGGAAUCAUUGGGCGUAAAGCGCGUGUAGGCGGUUCUGUAAGUCUGCUGUGAAAGUCCAGGGCUCAACCCUGGGAUGCCGGUGGAUACUGCAGGGCUAGAGUACGGAAGAGGCGAGUGGAAUUCCCGGUGUAGCGGUGAAAUGCGCAGAUAUCGGGAGGAACACCUAUUGCGAAGGCAGCUCGCUGGGACGUUACUGGCGCUGAGACGCGAAAGCGUGGGGAGCAAACAGG